CUCCCUUCUGCUCGGUGCCUCUGAGGGGUGUGCAGGAGCCCCUUCCCUCUUCUGGGACCUGUCCCCACCUUCACGGGCAGGCCGGGUGCUCCACGGGGCCGUGAAGGGCACUGACCCCGGGCCCAGGCCUCAGACGGGGCUGCGGACACACCACAGUGGUUGAUGUUACUCUGGCUGUGACGGUGUCAGGACACAGGAGGGCUCGCACCCGCGUGGGGUCUGGGAGAGGCUGGGCCUCCCGGGCAGGGUCCUGUGUCCGGUGUGGUGGGCGGACAGCUGAGGGGCGCAGGCUGGAGGGACUGAGAAGGCCUCUGGUUCCAUGCGGUCCAUCCCCAGACCCCUGACAGGGGCCCCAGGCGCUGCCCUCGGAUCCCAGGCUUGAGCCACAGGCUGUCCCCGGCCGUCCCGUGGGCCUCACAGGCCUGUGGCCAUGGAAACCGAGGAUGGCCCACGGUCACAGGCAGCCCCUCUCUGCCACCAGGGAGCUCCCUGGAAACUGGGACAGAAAUGGGAUUAGGACCCAGAAGGCAGGAUGAAAACGGGCCCCUACUCCUGCGGCGGCUGCGGAUGCCGGUUCCCAUAGUAACGGGGGUUGCUAGGCAGGAGGAGGGGGUGCGGAGCCGCCUCCCGAGUCUGCACAUGGCAGUGGGGCUGCGGGACAGUGAGCCCCGGGAAGGGCUGCCGCGCGGGCACGUGGCGGUCUCUACGGUGACAAGAGGGAAAUUUUCGUCUUGAAAGAGAGGAAACAAUCCAAACUUUAUCAUAAAUAAGAGUUUUGGUUAUAAAUGUAGCAAAGCAAAAUUAUUGUUCGGGCUUAACAGUAGGUGGGGCAGCGACGCGGUGGCGUCACCUGGACGUGGAGAGCUGUCGGCCUGGGUCAGCAAAGGACACAGGGUCCUCAUGAGCGCGGCGGUGGGGGCGCUGCUGGGUCGGGCACCUCCACCCCUGCGUGUGCCUCUCCCGCCCCGCUGAGUCGCGCCGGCCAUCAGGCUGACACACCCGCCGUGUCCGGGACGCCUGAGCUGUGUUCCUGUCAUCGCAAAGGUCCUCUCCUCUGCCGGCGAGAGAUCCAUCACUGGUCCUCCACGCCCGGCGUGCUCCGUCGUCCUCAGGGACCUGCCCUGGACGGGGCGCAGCACGCCUACCUGACCGCAUGUCCACCACCCUGCCGCUCCAAACCAGCACCCGUCCUCUGGCUGCGGCCAGUUCACAACCUGACUCAGCCCGGAACUCUCCGCCUUCAGUGCCUAGAAUGUCCCCUCGAGCAUUUUAUUUUCCACACGUGGCCGGCAUGUUUUCUUAUUUAUUUAUUUAUUUAUUUAUUUAUUUAUUUAUUUAUUUAUUUAUUUAUUUAUUUAUUUAUGUUUUCUCUUCUCAUUUGGACAAUUCUUGCUUCUCUCCUUAUAUUUGAAAACACAGGAGAGUAAAAGGCCGAGAUGCUUUUGAAGAACUGCGUAGGUGACCUGGCCCUGCCAGAUGUCAGCUGGUAUCAAGGCUACAGUGAGGGGAUCCCGGGGGGCUCAGUGGUUUAGCACCGCCGUCGGCCCAGGGCGUGAUCCCGGGGUCCCGGGAUCGAGUCCCGCGUCGGGCUCCCUGCAUGAAGCCUGCUUCUCCCUCUGCCUGGGUCUCUGCCUCUCCCUCUAUCUGUGUCUCUUAUGAAUAAAUAAAAUCUUAAAAAAAAAAAAGCUACA
rnacentral:lncRNA from 12 species